UCGCCGACUGUCGGGUUCUCUACGCCUCCUUUCUCCUUCGCGCGCGAACUCUUUCCUUCCUCCAUAGAACAACGACGACUCGCACAGGGACACCACCAGCGCCACGAAUCACAGCCAAAGUUGCCGCCGUUCGUCCAGUUCCCACUUCUAGGGCCAUGAACAAAACCGACCACCGUUGUCUUCGUCGGAAAACGCUUACACGUCAGAGUCGCCGGCACCACCCUCAUUCAAGAGUCUUUUUCCUCCGAUGCCAAACAUUUCCAGCAACAUCAUCGCCGGUGUCAAGGGCGAAAACACCUUUCCUUCUCUUUUUCUCAUUUCCUUUUCAAUAUUGUUCAUUUGAAUGUUGUUCUGUUGAUGGAAGUUUCUUCCAUUGGGAUAUUUUGGGUUAAAUCUGAUGGGAUUUUGUUUUACAGGUCAUAGAGGACAUUGAGCAUGGAGCUCGAGAUGUCAAUCUAGAGGGAAGGCGUUGGGUGUAACGACUGGGUGUAACGGUUGUUCAAAGGAUAGAGCUUAGAAUCUGGGUUUUGGUUUGUUCAAUCUGCUUGAUGGAGGCCUUGAAACAACCAUAUACAAGCAAACGAGCACAACCAUAUACAUGUAUUAUUCAUUCAUAUCUGAUUCAUUAAACAGAUGCCUUCACAUACGAUCAAGUUCAGA